rnacentral:rRNA from 1 species
GUCGUAACAAGGUUUCCGUAGGUGAACCUGCGGAAGGUUCAUUAA